CUAGUACUCCCUUCGUUCUGAAUUACUUGUCGCAGGUAUGGAUGUAUCUAGAUGUAUUUUAGUUCUAAAUACAUUCAUUUCUGCGACGAGUAAUUUAGAACGGAGGGAGUAUCUG
rnacentral:pre_miRNA from 1 species